AGCAGGCUGUCCCUAUCUCUUUCUUGUUCAAAAUUAAGAGUCAGACCUUGUAGUCUUUGUAAUCUUCUGAUACAUUGAGGGGAUCUCCCAACAUUCCAGAGAGACUUGUGUUUCUCCCUUAUAUUCUUCAUUCACCAACGUUACCCAAUAGUUUUCAUUAAUAAUGUUUUUAUUCUCUGCUCCUUCAAUAACUACACUCUCUCAAACCAGUGUCUUGCUCGGUUGCUCUCAGAUUUGAGACUCAUCAGAAAAGAGAUGAUAGAUAAAUUUAUGUGAGUUUAUGAGCACUUGAGUGAAAUCCCAUAGAAGAAGAGAAGAAGAGCCCAGUUCAAAACCUUGAAGGGCACCUACAUGAAGGACUUAAUUAAGAAUCCAGCAAAGGAGACUAAAACAGGAUAAUCAGAGAAGUCCUAGGACAACCAGGAUAGUUUUGUUAUGAAAAUUAGAGAAUUUGGGUAUCAAGGAGUGCAGAGAUCUUAAGAAGAAUGAGGAUUAAGAAGAAGGCCAUUAAGAGAUUUUUGCAAUUUCAUUUGAAUGAUGAAGUUGAAAACCAGACUGUAGUUCAAAAAAAAGAGUAGGAAGAAGGGAAGUAGAAGCACCUUUUAUAGAUAGCAUUUUCAAAAAUUUCAAUCCCAAAGGGAAGAGAGAGAUAGGAAAUGAUAGCUAUCAGGGAUAGAUGGAUAAAAUGAAGGCUGUUUUUCAUUUGGGGUUGAAGGAAAGCUGCCAGUAGAUGAGGAGAGUUUGAAAACAAAAUGAAACAACGGGAAUACUAGAGAGAUUCUCUGCUGGGUGAAGGAUGAAGUAAAGAGAGCACAUAUUUUGGCAUUUCCUUCAGAAUAUAUGGGGACAACAUAUUGUCCUUUCUACACCCACUCCUGUGGUUGAGAUAUAUGUUCUCAUCUGUUGUUCUAGGAAGUGAGGUUGGUGUAGGACCUGUCACCCAUAUCCCAGACCAUGGAGAACCAGGAAAAAUCAUGACAUCACUGACUAGUGGCCUCCUGAUCCGUGAAUCCCCUGUAUAUGCUAUAGAGAGUGACAUUGGUGUAGGGCCCUUCACCCAUAUCCCAGAACAUGGAGCACCUGGAGACAUGACAUCAGUGACCAGUGAAUCUACUGUAUGUGCCAUGGGAUUCUCUACUGAGACUUCAGGGACACUGAAGAAUGUGAGUGGAUCUGACCAGGGAAGAGAACCAACGAACUCCACCAGUAUCCCUAUGACUGACUUUAUCGGGAGAGAUUCCAUUGCUUACACUGAAACGGACAUACGUGUCAUGGAGACAACUCCAAGAGCCACAGCCACUCAAGACCCACUUCUCACUGUGCCCACUGGAGCAGGUGACCUCAUCCCUGGGAUGCACAGGAGAACUGUGUCCUCUCCCACCGAAACCUCAGUUCCAUCUGAGAUAUCCUCUGGAGUCACCAUUGCCAUUGCAAGGACCUCACUCUCCAUGACUCCAGUAGAAAUCACAGCUAGCCCCAGCUCCAGUGCUCCCUUAAACAUCAGCCUAAGCACAAGAACAGCUUCCCUUGAGCCUGCUACUUCGUUGGAGGACCCAGGGCCAGCCGGCCUGACUCCAGAAACUGAGAGAAACCCACAGGCAACACCAACUCCAGCUAUCACCCUGCCUCCAGCCAGCACACAGGAAGUUUGCACAACAGCAUCUCCCAGUCCUCCUGACACAACCACAGAGGGCAGCAGUGUCCAGGCAGGGACAGCCUCUGUUUCUGAUCAGGUGCCUUCCACUUCCAGCCUCUUCCCAAGAGGUGAUGCUGGUGUGGUGCCAGACACACAUGCCCAAGGCCAUGAUGCACCAGGAAGCACAGUAGCACCAAUAAGGAGCUCCCUCACCCCUGUGUCUACUAUUAUUCCCACAGGUAAGUAGGUACCUCCUCUCUGUCUCUGUGUUGGAGGUUUAUCCUUUUUAGGGCCUUGUUUCCCAAUCUUACAGAGGAAACAUGAAAUUAUUUUAGAGAUCAAUCCUCAAGAACUCUUCUGAACCUCUGAUUCCUUUCUAUGUAUAGCCUGGAGAAGAGAAGUUUUAGAGGUAGGAGUGAGAUUCCCACUGCUAAGGUCUUUUAUAUAAGCAACCAUAGGUAUAAAGUUGGAAGGAAACUUUAAACCAUCAGGUAUUAUGGAUAGCCUCUCAUUUUACUGAUGUGGAUACUGAGGUUUAGAGAAGUAAAGUAAUUAGCUCAGGGUGACCGGAUAUGACUGGAAAGGACCCUUAAAGGUCAUCUAGCUGGAUCCCAUCUUUUUACAUAUUGGAAAAUUGGGGUGGAGAGAAGUUAUGUGACAUGCCCUAUGACACAAAAGUAGAAAGCAGCAGACGUGAGAUUUGAACCUAGGACUCUAUUAUGCUGUAUUUCAAGGUCAAGAGGAGAAGUCAGCCCUAACACCUCACAUUGAAUGGCUUCCACUUUGGGAAAGAUUCCUUCUAUGAACUCUCCCAAGUUCAUAGCAGAGAAUGUGUUUUUACAUUCUUAUUUACAUCUUCAGUAUUUAGGAUAGAGCUGGGCACAUGAUAAAUACUUAAUUAAUGGAAACUAAUUGAUUGCUUUGAUCUAAUGAGUAGAUUUGUGAGAUUCAGUUUAUUAAAAAAAUUUGUCUUAAAAAUGUAUCUUAUACACCUACAAACUGAACUUGCCUAUGGAAAAGUGAAGGAGAAUGGAAUAAGCAAUUACGUAACACCUACUAUGUGCCAGGCACUUUGACUAAGCAUUUUUUAUAGAAAUAGUAUCUCAUUUGAUCCACAGAACAACCCUAAGUGUUGGGCUUUAUAGUUAGCCCCAUUUUUCAGAUGAGAAAAAGAUGCAAGCAAUGACUGCUUGACUUUCCCAGGGUCAUACAGCUAAUGAGUUCUUAGGUCACAUUUGAACUCAGGU
rnacentral:lncRNA from 1 species